ACAUGUACCAAAACCCAUUGCAGAUGUCAAGAAUCAGGAAGACCUUAGCACCAUACAGUCGGAACCAUCCAAAGUCUCCGAUUUAAGUUGGAGUGUUGGAGGACUCAAGGAGCCCUAUGAUGCUGGAGACCUCAGGAGGAGGCCAAGCCCUGAUUCCACCUAUGAAGCUAACCUGUUAAAGCAAUCUGCGGAAAUUUGACAGUAGAACAUCGCAGCUGCAGAGAGGACUCUACAACAUCAAGA